GCAUAUCUGAAGAAAUAAGAGCCAUCGCUUCUGGUGUUGGAAAGCGUCGUCGUGAAAGCUGCAUUGCAGGAGGGAGGAGAGGAGAGAAGAGAAGAUCCAAUCAUUUCCAUGGUGCCGGUCAGAUGUUUGACGAAAUGCGCAUAGAGAUCAAAUUGCUGGAUGUAGCGAGAAAGCGUAUGAUUAUACGCACGUCAAAUGUUGCUGUUCUUCUGCGACCAAGAACUUGAGGUAUAUAUCAAAGGAGGUGAAUAUUAUGAGAGGACCUUUAGCUUUCUCUACCCGGAAUUACUAUCUAAAUUGACUAAUUAUGUCAAAAGGAUAAUAUCAGCUCCAGCAUCAGUUCCGACCUUCGUAAGGGUCUCCUAAAACCUCUUAUAGAGUUAGCUAAUUUAGAUCCUUUUCAACUAUCAUGAUUGCUUUAUCUUAAUAUGGGAUCACCGACAGAUGUAACACUGAAAUUUGCCCAUUCUGUUCGUUUCAUUUCUCAUUCUUUUGGGCUUCAAUGGCGGAUGGGAAGGGCUUGCGUACACUCCGAUUUACCAUGCGUAGGGUCUCACAAAAUGCAACUUACUGACUGAAGUUACUCCAGGUAAACUCCAUGAUGUCCCGGAUUUUAUCACAUUGUGACAAACUAACUAGCAGAGCAAAAGAGAUUCUAAAUAGCGGAAUAUAUCUUGUUUCGACAAUAGUAUGGAAAAUGGCAGGGAGAACAGCUAUCUCUCGUACUAUGGAAUGAUGUAUCACAGAUGACGAAUAUAACUCUCAUUACUGUCCAUUUGUUUUAGAGACUACGAAUGUAGGAGAUGUUCAUAGAUCACGGAGACGUUUCUCGGCACUCACUACAAUAAGAACUCCGAAACAGUACAUGCGAUAUAUCUUACCAGGCACACUUCCCUUCACAAGAUUUAUCCGUUGGUUUAUUAAGACCCAAAAUUUGGAGUUGGCUCAUGCUUGAGAACUUUCUCUCAGUUUCAGAAACUGAAGAUGAGGGAGUCGACAAGAAUCUGCGAUACUACAUGAUAAGUGGCGUAAAUGGCAAAAUGUCCACAGGCUAACAUUGUAUGACCCAUUUUCUGGUUUAACUACCGCUAUGCAUAUUGCACGUAACAAGAUUGGUCUAUUAGAAGAAGGAAGUCCAUGAGUCACAGAACUACUUUUCUUGUUUUUCGGAAGUCUUGAGGACAUGAUCUUUUAUGACUGAAUCUCUUCUGAAUUGCGAUUAUAUUUUCCCACAUGAACAUCCAGUACCCAUCGGAACCCCAUAGAUCCACUUCGAUGUCUACUCAUGUUGAGAGGAAUAGGAGAACUGAUAUCGAGCUAUAUUCCAGCAAAAACAAAUGUCUCUUCACGGCCUUGCUUAGCAUGCGGAAAUCAAGAGAAGACAGCGAGUUACACAAGUCCUUGGAUGAGAACUAACAAGAACAGGGGAUGGAGGAAAGCAGAUAGACGCAUAUGUCAGUUUCUUUGCAGCGCAAGUAUGACCUCUGCUGCAUUUGUAAUUGUAGCUUAAGCUUUUGAGAAUAAUUUUAUGCCAAUAAGAAACAGAACGAAAAGAUUGUCCUGAUUGAAAUUCUACAGGGUAUUUCUUUGGAA